CUAUACAUGCAGUCGAGCGGACCGACGGGAGCUUGCUCCCUUAGGUCAGCGGCGGACGGGUGAGUAACACGUGGGUAACCUGCCUGUAAGACUGGGAUAACUCCGGGAAACCGGGGCUAAUACCGGAUGCUUGAUUGAACCGCAUGGUUCAAUCAUAAAAGGUGGCUUUUAGCUACCACUUGCAGAUGGACCCGCGGCGCAUUAGCUAGUUGGGGAGGUAACGGCUCACCAAGGCGACGAUGCGUAGCCGACCUGAGAGGGUGAUCGGCCACACUGGGACUGAGACACGGCCCAGACUCCUACGGGAGGCAGCAGUAGGGAAUCUUCCGCAAUGGACGAAAGUCUGACGGAACAACGCCCCGUGAGUGAUGAAGGUUUUCGGAUCGUAAAACUCUGUUGUUAGGGAAGAACAAGUACCGUUCGAAUAGGGCGGUACCUUGACGGUACCUAACCAGAAAGCCACGGCUAACUACGUGCCAGCAGCC
rnacentral:rRNA from 1 species